CCACCUCUAAGCUCUCUCGUCCUGUCAAACUCUCUCUAGCUCUCCGAAGCCCUAGCCCUGUUUCGCAUACUUCCAUUUCAUUCUCACUGGAAUCAAUGGUGUCCCAAGCCCUAAGCAGCUUGUACCCAUCCCCCGUGUUCGUAUACAUCUGUUACUUCUAGAUGCAAGGUUUGGCCUUGAAGGUUUUGGCUCAGAUCUUCACUGAUUUAAGUUUCACGACCGUCUACGGCUUGGAUCCGGCACAUCUUGGUCCUAUGAACCUACCUCUGGCUCAUCCGGCUUAGAAUAGACCAUUUCUAGGCCUUUCUCGCUUCUAGGGUUCUUCUGAAACCCUAGCCUUUCGAGGUUCUCCUAUUUCCUCUAGAUCUAUGUUUCUUUUAGGGUUUUCAAAUGAUUUCUCAAGUUUCUUUAAAAACUUUGCUUUCAAACUGUUCAUCUUCUCUGACUUAGGGUUUUUUUUAAUUUUACUUGUUCUACUGUGACCUAUGUGUUUCUUUUACUGUAUUUGCUCUACUGUGAUUCUUCUAUGUUUUCAUCAACCAUGCUUUCUUCUACCAUUUCUUUAUGAGUUCUUUUACAGUAUUUUAUUCUUUUAUCAUGUUUUCCUAAAAUGCUUAAGGUUUUAGUUCUUUUGGGGUUUUCUGAACUUAUUUCAUUGUUGCUCUUGGCUGAUUUUCUUUGUUUCAUCUCUACGCUUGAAUAAUAGUAGAAGCCCUAGAAUUUAGGGGUUUUUCAGUCGAGUUGUUGAGACCACUUGUAUGUGACUUGUUUUCUUUCCAUCUCCGAACUAGUUUGGUUUUGAAGCCCUAAUUUCUGAGUUCACCUUUGUUUCAACCUUGUGGUUCUGAUUUUUGCUAUACUCUAUAGGACCUUUUAUCUGACCUCGCAUCCUAUCUGUUACUCUCUUUUAGCUAUAGUCCUUUACUUACUAGUCUUUGGUUGCAUGAUACUUUCUUUUUUUGUUUGGGUCCAUCCUCACACGUUUCAAGCUCAUUCUCUCUUUAUAGUUAGAUUUUCCCUCUCAGAAUAACCUUUGAUUUGGGGAUUUCUUUCAGAGUACCUUGUGUGAAUACGAUUGAUUCUUUCCUUGUUUAAUCUGAACCUCUCGAUUCCCCUAUUGUUUGGCUUGGUUCACUAGUGAUUUGGGGGAUCUCUGAUUCCCUGAUGUACUAUGUACUAAUCGUUUUACUUGUUUGCCUUAUUUACUUAACCAUGUAUUUCAAAAUUCCCUUUCCUUAAUUAAGAUCCACGUGUACUUACCUUGAUUUGCAUGCUGUGCACAAUGCGUUUAUUUGAUCCCUUUUCAUUUAAUGUUUCCUAUCUUGUACCUUUCAAAUUUGAAUCCCUGAAUUAGAGGAAUCUUCUUCUACUGAUUGAUUUUUAAUUAAUACUUGAUUAUUUUCUUGCCUUUUUAUCUGUCUCAUUUAAAAGUAUAAAUACUUGCUUCUUCUCUCAACACACACUUCAGAUUACACACAGACUUCUGAAUUUAAAAAUAUUUUGAAUACCUUUCACUACUCAAUUUCAAAUACUCUCUCUACUACUACCUUCUCUAUUUCUGAUGCUCAGUACUCUGCUACUCUCUCUUCUACUGUCUGAAAUACUUCUGGUUUCCUCUUGAGUUCUCAAAUACUUGCUGAAGGUUCUGAGUUUGCUCUUGCUGACUUUCUGGCUGAUUACUUAUUUUUACUUGUUCCACUGUACUAAAAAUUGCAACUGGUAUGUCUUUCUAGUUAAAUGAUACCCUCCUGACUGUGUUUAUUCCUUCUCUCCUGUUAUGCAUUCUCACUAUGUGUUUACUUUAUGCUUUCUUGCCUUAUAUCUGCUUUUCCUCUUUCUCUAUGGUUCUGCACCCUUUGUCUGUUAUGCAUUUCUUGUGCUUCUGUGAAUGUUCUCUAUGUGAGUCCCCUUCCCUUUGACCCUUUCUUGUGUAAGAGUACUGUUCUGAGUCAUGCCAGUAUCCUAUUAUUACUAUCCAUGUCCUAGAAAUAGGUUCUCUUAAACCUUUACUCAAAUCAAUUCCCAUUCUCUUUACCCCUUAUGUGUUGAGCCUUGACUCAAGUCUGGUGGUGUACUAAUCACCAUCCAGACCCAAGUUUGACUUCUAAAAAAGUCUGCUCUUUAUUGUUUGGACCAAGCAGAGGGUCAGGGGUGUGCCAGUCUAUGCCCAUGACUGGGUAUGACCACUCUCUGCUAUGGCUCCCUAACCCCUCUCUCACUUUGCACUUAUUCCUAGUUCUAAGUUCUUCCCCUCUCUGGUAAGCCAUGCUUUGGGACCGUGGAGUUCCCUAUGAACUUGGAUGCAUGAAGGCUGGCUAUUCCACACUGCACUAUUCUGUUAUAACAGUUAGCCAGGGUGUAAGCACUGUCUGGAGCUCCUAAAGCUCCCUGGAACUCUGAAACUUUUUGGAUAAGAAAAGGCC
rnacentral:lncRNA from 1 species